rnacentral:rRNA from 1 species
GAUCAUGGCUCAGGAUGAACGCCAGCUACAGGCUUAACACAUGCAAGUCGAGGGGCAUCAUGGUCGAAGCUUGCUUGAUUGAUGGCGACCGGCGCACGGGUGAGUAACGCGUAUCCAACCUUCCCCUUAGUAGGGCAUAGCCCGGCGAAAGUCGGAUUAAUACCCUAUGUUGUCAAUAGAGGACAUCUGAAGCUGACUAAAGAUUAAUCGCUAAGGGAUGGGGAUGCGUCUGAUUAGGUGGUAGGCGGGGUAACGGCCCACCUAGCCGACGAUCAGUAGGGGUUCUGAGAGGAAGGUCCCCCACACUGGUACUGAGACACGGACCAGACUCCUACGGGAGGCAGCAGUGAGGAAUAUUGGUCAAUGGGCGUAAGCCUGAACCAGCCAAGUAGCGUGCAAGGGAUGACGGCCCUAUGGGUUGUAAACUGCUUUUAUGCGGGGAUAAAGUCACCUACGUGUAGGUGUUUGUAGGUACCGCAUGAAUAAGGACCGGCUAAUUCCGUGCCAGCAGCAGC